rnacentral:rRNA from 1 species
UACAGAGGUCUCAAGCGUUGUUCGGAUUCAUUGGGCGUAAAGGGUGCGUAGGCGGCGCGGUAAGUCGGGUGUGAAAUCUCGGGGCUUAACUCCGAAACUGCAUUCGAUACUGCCGUGCUUGAGGACUGGAGAGGAGACUGGAAUUUACGGUGUAGCGGUGAAAUGCGUAGAUAUCGUAAGGAAGACCAGUGGCGAAGGCGGGUCUCUGGACAGUUCCUGAUGCUGAGGCACGAAGGUCAGGGGAGCAAACGGG